rnacentral:rRNA from 1 species
CCUACGGGGGGCAGCAGUGAGGAAUAUUGGUCAAUGGACGAGAGUCUGAACCAGCCAAGUAGCGUGAAGGAUGACUGCCCUAUGGGUUGUAAACUUCUUUUAUAUGGGAAUAAAGUGUUCCACGUGUGGGAUUUUGUAUGUACCAUGUGAAUAAGGAUCGGCUAACUCCGUGCCAGCAGCCGCGGUAAUACGGAGGAUCCGAGCGUUAUCCGGAUUUAUUGGGUUUAAAGGGUGCGUAGGUGGAUUGUUAAGUCAGUUGUGAAAGUUUGCGGCUCAACCGUAAAAUGGCAGUUGAAACUGGGAGUCUUGAGUACAGUAGAGGUGGGCGGAAUUCGUGGUGUAGCGGUGAAAUGCUUAGAUAUCACGAAGAACUCCGAUUGCGAAGGCAGCUCACUGGACUGCAACUGACACUGAGGCUCGAAAGUGUGGGUAUCAAACAGGAUUAGAUACCCGUGUAGUC